AUUGAACGCUGGCGGCAGGCCUAACACAUGCAAGUCGAACGAGUGGCGGACGGGUGAGUAAUGUCUGGGAACCUGCCCGAUGGAGGGGGAUAACUAGUGGAAACGGUAGCAAAUACCGCAUACCAUCCGAUGGGCCCAGGGGGGAUUAGCUAGUAGGUGGGGGAACGGCUCACCUAGGCGACGAUCCCUAGCUGGUCUGAGAGGGUGACCGGCCACACUGGAACUGAGACACGGUCCAGACUCCUACGGGAGGCAGCAGUGGGGAAUAUUGCACAAUGGGCGCAAGCCUGAUGCAGCCAUGCCGCGUGUAUGAAGAAGGCCUUCGGGUUGUAAAGUACUUUCAGCGAGGAGGCGUUACUAGCAGAAGAAGCACCGGCUAACUCCGUGCCAGCAGCCGCGGUAAUUC
rnacentral:rRNA from 1 species